AGCACUUAUUAUUCUUAUUUGGCCUACAAUGGGUACAAAGUUAAAAUAAGUGCUUAUAUUAAAACCUUUUCUUGCAACCCACAACUAAUUGGGUAGUAUGAGUUGUGUUACUUAUGGGAAGGGACACU
ensembl:snoRNA